rnacentral:misc_RNA from 1 species
UACGGAGGAUCCAAGCGUUAUCCGGAUUCAUUGGGUUUAAAGGGUGCGUAGGCGGCUAAUUAAGUCAGUGGUGAAAUCUCGGAGCUUAACUCUGAAACUGCCAUUGAUACUGAUUGGCUUGAAUAUGGUUGAGGUAGGCGGAAUGCGACAUGUAGCGGUGAAAUGCUUAGAUAUGUCACAGAACACCGAUUGCGAAGGCAGCUUACUAAGCCAUUAUUGACGCUGAGGCACGAAAGCGUGGGGAGCAAACAGG